GUCUAGCCCAGAUUGCAGCGGCAUCCUUUUUUAAUUGCCUCCCAAGGCAAUUGAAAAAGAUAUAGCGGAAAGCUGGAAGAGCU
rnacentral:sRNA from 1 species